GACGAACGCUGGCGGCGUGCUUAACACAUGCAAGUCGAGCGGUAAGGCCCUUUCGGGGGUACGACGAGCGGCGAACGGGUGAGUAACACGUGGGUGACCUGCCCUCAGCUCUGGGAUAAGCCUGGGAAACCGGGUCUAAUACUGGAUAUGACUCCAUGACGCAUGUUGGUGGGGUGGAAAGCCUUGUGCGGCUGAGGAUGGGCCCGCGGCCUAUCAGCUUUGUUGGGUGGGGUGACGGCCCUACCAAGGCGACGACGGGUAGCCGGCCUGAGAGGGCGACCGGCCACACUGGGACUGAGACACGGCCCAGACUCCUACGGGAGGCAGCAGUGGGGAAUCUUGCGCAAUGGGCGAAAGCCUGACGCAGCGACGCCGCGUGA
rnacentral:rRNA from 1 species